rnacentral:rRNA from 1 species
GACGUAGGGCGCGAGCGUUGUCCGGAUUUACUGGGCGUAAAGGGCGCGUAGGCGGCCACCGCAAGUCGACUGUGAAAUCUCCGGGCUUAACCCGGAAAGGUCAGCCGAUACUGCGGGGCUAGAGUGCAGAAGGGGCAACUGGAAUUCUCGGUGUAGUGGUGAAAUGCGUAGAGAUCCGGAGGAACACCAGUGGCGAAGGCGACACGCUGGGCCGUACCUGACACUGAGGCGCGAUAGCAUGGGGAGCAAACAGG